rnacentral:lncRNA from 1 species
CGUGAUAUCACAAAAAUUGGACUGGUAUGAUUUCAGUCGCGCUAAAGCGUUUCUAUGACAUUUAAUAAGACAAAUUAUUGUUUUAGUUUGACUGAAAUCAAACUCUUACAAAGCAUGCAAGAACAUUAUUCAAGGAUCUGUAAACAGAACAGAUCCUUUCAGAUUGCUGCCACUAAAAGCCAGACACCAAUGAGGGAAAUGUUGGAAUAUACAGCUCCAUAUCACUGUGAUAUCAUAUAAUUAGCUCUAUAAAGCAUGUGCAUGAGAAAACCUAAGUAUUCCACAAACAGAAGAUCUUACAGACAGUUUUCUCAUCACUCUUGUGUCUGUGUUGCUGUGUUUUAUGACCUGUUCUUCCUCUUUGCCAUUGUCCUGAAUGUCUUCCAGCUCAUUUAUUUUUAGCUAUUUAUGUCUUCACCACUUAAGUGCUAAAGGACUAAUGCAUCCCAGCACAAUGCAAUUACUAUGUCAAGUGCAAUUCCAAACAGUGCAUGAAGACAAUGAGUCUUCUGAGUUUCUGUUCUAGAUGGCAUGCUAGAUAACACACACGUACUGAAAAAAAAAAUGUGGAAGUGCUGCAUUUUUCUGCAGUAUGUGCAUGCAUCAUCUUUGGGGAGUACAGGAGCCUGAUUGCGCCAAUCUCAACCUGUUCUGAGAUUAUAUAAAAUCUUUAAUAAUGUUGAACAACUGGCACUAAUAAAAUGAGCAUGUCAAAAAAAUACUGUACCUAUGGUAUAAAUAAUAACAGAAAGAGAGAUAGAAAAACUGAAGCUGUGCUAUAAAGUAUAUCUGACUUCAAUUUUCAUGUAUUUCUAAUAUAGGCCUGACUGAAGAAGAGGAUCUUGCCAUGUCCAGUGGUACACACACGCACACACACACACAAAAUAUACAUUUGUAAACCAAAUACACUCUAAUAGGUGGUUUUCUAUGAUUGUAGAUGUUAACAGGGAGGCCGUAUUCCAGGCGACAAAGGUUCGAACCCAUUUGAAACAAGAUGGAAGCUGGAUCAACAGAUCUCAAAAUGUUGAGGACACACAGUCAGAUGUAAAAGCACGUAAACCAGUAAAGCUAGGAAAACCUAAAAAUGUGUCAUCACCUGAGAGCAGUUCGGUCUCUUCCUCCAUCAUGCCAUGUGCAGAGAGUACCGCCACCACCUCCUCCAGCCUGGACUCGUCCACACCCCCUCAAAGCUCUUCUGUCAUGUCAGCCUUAAGGAAGUUUGAUGCACAUCCUGUCCUUGAGGACUCCAGAAGAGCACAUGUAGAGAAAGCAGUGGAGCCAUCCAUAGUCAAAGCCACAGAGCAACCACUGAAGACACCAGCAGAUGCUUCUGUAAAGGACAUAGUGGAAAAACCAAUUGCCAUACUUGCAGAGGAACCAUUGAAGACAUAUGCAGAUGUUUCUGUAAAGGACAUAAUGGAGAAACCUAUAGCUAAACCUUUAGAGGAACCGAUGAAGACGCAUGCAGACGCUCCUAAAUUGGAUGUAGUGGAGAAACCUAUAGUUAAACCUAUAAAGGAACCAUUGAAGACGCAUGCAGACGCUCCUAAAUUGGAUGUAGUGGAGAAAACUAUAGUUAAACCUGUAGAGGUACCAUUGAAGACACAUGCAGACAUUCCUAAAACGGAUGUAGUGGAGAAACCUAUAGAGGAGCCAUUGAAGACGCAUGCAGACGCUCCCAAAUUGGAUGUAGUGGAGAAACCUAUAGUUAAACCUAUAGAGGAACCAUUGAAGACACAUGCAGACACUCCUAAAACGGACAUAGUGGAGAAACCUGUUGAAGAACCACUGAAGACGCAUGCUUACACUCCUAAAAUGUAUGUAGUGGACAAUAUAGUUAAACCUGUAGAGGAACCACUGGAGACACCUACAGAUGUUCCUGUAAAGAACAUAGUGGAGAACCCUGCAGAGGAAUCACUGAAGACACACACAGAGACUCCUGUAGAGGGAACAAGGAAGACGCCUGUAGAUGGAGCUUCAACAGAUCAAACACUAUCCAGUGGAGUGCUGCAGGAGAAAGCAGUCAAAACCCUACAUGAGAACCCAGCAAAACCUUCAGGUACACUGACUACAGAGAAUCAAGAAGAUGAUACAGUUGAACAAGUCUCAAUAGCACAUGCACCUGUAGUUGAGGCUCCAUUCGAACCCAGACAAGCAGAAAACCAGCCUACAAGUGAACAUGGGGAACUUUCACUAGUAUCUGCUCUGGAAAUUCCAACUACAGAGUCAUCAACUAGAUCAACUACAGAACCGACCGAAGAACCCCGUGUGGCAGCCCUGGAAGAGAACCACAGACUGAACAGUCAAGCUGAAUUGAAUGUCAAAGGUAAAACCAUGUGUUCCUUCUGCAAGCUGCCCAUAGAUGGAAAUGUGAAAAUCUCCAUCAACAUUCCUGCCAUUUGCUGCCAUCCAGAUUGUUUCAAGUGUAAUGGUUGCAGCAGUCCUCUGGAUGAUCUCUCUUCAUCUAUGUACCACUAUGCUGGGGAAAUCCUCUGCGAGAAAUGCUUUGAUCAAAUCUUCCAGCUCUGAUGACUCAUCCUACUGCAACCUACUCCACAACAACUUAUCACCAUGACACCCAAGCACAUCUCAGUGUCUACCAGCAAGUUUGCUGUAAUUCAGCACUAAUAAAAAAAAAAAAUCAGUCUUUAUCAGUAGAGGAACUGCUGUCGUAGGUUUAUUGCACAUAAAUUCAACACAAAUUUUCAGUAAAUGGUCGUGCUGUGUGUGCAUGUCUUCCUAUAUACUGACAAAACUCCCCAUGAGGUUUAAUAAAGUAUUUCUCUCUUUCUGAUCAAUAUAUUCCUUGUCGUCUUCUAACAAUUCACUGUUUCAAAUGUAUUUUUUUAAAUAUCCUAUCAGCUUAAAGGAGAAGUUCGCUUCCAGAAUGAAAAUUUCCUGAUAAUUUACUUACCCCUAUGUCAUCCAAGAUGUUCACGUCUUUCUUUCUUCAGUCGAAAAGAAAUGAAGGUUUCUGAGGAAAACAUUCUAGGAUUUUUCUCCAUAUAGGCUAGUGGACUUCAAUGGGGGUCAACCAUAGACUGUAUAAAAACAUGGACGUAGUGUCCGUGACGUCACCCGUAGGUUUCUG